rnacentral:lncRNA from 1 species
AAAACCUUGCACAACACGAAGGCUAAGCCUACUUACAUGGUAAGGUGCAAGCACUUAAUGUCUUUAUUUUAUUUUUGUUCUACCUGGUCGAAAUUCCUCUUUAGUCUUUUAUUAAUGAUUAAUUGGAAAUUGAGAGAAAGUGUACUCUGUCUUCACUCACUUCUUUCAGUUGGUAGGGUGAAUCUAGUCUCAGGUGAUAGAAAAAUUUUCAUUUUUGAUCCCUCAUGGUUUUGUGAGUAGAAAUCCUAUUAUCUGUAAUUAUAAUUGCCAAUUAAUAAUUUUAUAAAUGGACUUGACAGUCUCAGCUAUAAAGAAUUUCAUAUCUCAUGAAGUCUACACAACAGGAAUACUUAUUAGGUAGCUGAUGCCAUUGGACCAAAGAUCCCUAACUAAUGUUCUUGUAAUCCUACUGUGGGCAUCAACCCUUCUACCCUAAAAAACUCUCAGGAAAUUUUAACAUUCUCUUGACUUCUUAAAUUCCACUCCACUACCUUAGCUAUAUUUACAGAUCUCCCCACUAUAAUACAAUUUUAAUAUCUUCUUAAAACCUAAAUAGGCACAUUGUAAAUGCAUCUUAUUACAUUAUCUAGGGGUGCCAUUGAUAUAUACCACUUAUGUUUGUAUCAGGCAAGUACUAACCAAGCCCAGCCCUACUUAAAUUUCAAGAUGUGAUGCAAAUGGGUACACUCACAGUUUUGAAUCCAAUUAUAUUUUCUCCCUUCAGCUACGUACAUGGUACUCUUCACAUGAUCAAGGUUCAGCUUCUUAUUCUGAAUUUAAAAGAAAAAUAAUCUUGUUAUAUUCUUUGAGAAUUUUAUUCAGAGAUACAAUGAAUUUUUGGUCCCAUCUGCCCAUACUUUCCUCAUUCCAUCUUCUUUGGAAACCCUUUCUUAACACAUAUACUUGCCAACUUUAAGUCCUCUUCCUUCUUUCUUUUUACAUUUUUAUAGCCCUUUGAGAUGAAAACAUGCUGAUUGUAUAUGGCCAUCAGUGUUUGGCCAUUUGCCGACAUAUAAGUAACCUACUAGUGGUCAUAUAAUGAAAGAAAAAUGGGUACACUUCCCCAGCAGCCAGUACCUUCCAAUUCAGCUUCUUAAAUUAUUAAUAAAAUAAUACUUGCAAUGACAUCUUGUUCCUGAAAGGAUGAUCUAUAAGAAUCCUUUAACAUGAGCAAUAAAUAACUGACAAAUGAAUAGUGUAUCUUGUGGAAAAUUAUCCAUUGUGCAAAACACACUGGUCUGGGUUUUCUGAUCAUGGUGAUGUUUACUUUACAUCCAGCACGAAUUGUAGUUUUAUAUUUCUUUCAACUUAUUUCUUUACAUUACAAUUGAUUGGCUAGUUCAAUUUGAUGAUAUUGAGUUUGUGAUUAAUAUCAUUAAACAGCCAUUACUGCACUUCAAUAUUUCAGAAAGCAACAGCCAGCUCCGAUUUAAUUGUUUAAUAAAGAACAUCACAU